CCUACGGGGUGCUGCAGUGGGGAAUAUUGGACAAUGGGCGAAAGCCUGAUCCAGCCAUGCCGCGUGUGUGAAGAAGGCCUUCGGGUUGUAAAGCACUUUCAGUGGGGAAGAAAGCCUUGGGGCUAAUACCCUCGAGGAAGGACAUCACCCACAGAAGAAGCACCGGCUAACUCCGUGCCAGCAGCCGCGGUAAUACGGAGGGUGCGAGCGUUAAUCGGAAUUACUGGGCGUAAAGCGCGCGUAGGCGGUCUGAUAAGCCGGUUGUGAAAGCCCCGGGCUCAACCUGGGAACGGCAUCCGGAACUGUCAGGCUAGAGUGCAGGAGAGGAAGGUAGAAUUCCCGGUGUAGCGGUGAAAUGCGUAGAGAUCGGGAGGAAUACCAGUGGCGAAGGCGGCCUUCUGGACUGACACUGACGCUGAGGUGCGAAAGCGUGGGUAGCAAACAGGAUUAGAUACCCUAGAGUC
rnacentral:rRNA from 1 species